UACGUAGGGUGCGAGCGUUGUCCGGAAUUAUUGGGCGUAAAGGGCUCGUAGGCGGUUUUGUCGCGUCGGGGAGUGAAAACUCAGGGCUUAACCCUGAGCCUGCUUCCGAUACGGGCAGACUAGAGGUAUGCAGGGGGAGAACGGAAUUCCUGGUGUAGCGGUGAAAUGCGCAGAAUAAUCAGGAGGAACACCGGUGGCGAAAGGGCGGGUU
rnacentral:rRNA from 1 species